UGUAUCGCUUCUGAAAAUCCCUGUCUCUUUUUUACAGCCAAGUGUGAAGGCCUGAACUACUGUUACCAGACUGGCCAAACAAACAAACAAAAAAAAAAAAAAGAUAAAAGAAAACAAAACAUGCUUUGUUUAGUGUCCACCUCUUUCCUUUGUACUUCCGUCUUUGCAGUCCCACUUUCACCUCUUCCUCUUCUUUCUUACAAUUCGUCGGUCUCCAAGUUUCUUACUUUCUUGCAAAAAUCUCACUGUGUUAUUCCCUCAAAUCUUCAUUUUCUUGAUUUUUUAACUACCCUCUAUCUAAAUCUACCCUUUCCUUUAUCCCUUCCCAUAAAAAGAUUGUAAAAGCAAGGAUCUUUGUAUAACUCAGCUCUAGUUUCUUCACUGACUCUUUACAUUUCUUUGUCAGAAUUUUUUGUUUUAGCUUCAAAUUCACACUUCUUGCUUUCCACUUUUUAAAGAAAGAGCUAAACCUUGCUCAAAUUUCAUUAAUUUUCAUUUAUGUUUAAUCUUGUUUUCCUGCAUCAAGUCUCAGAUUUUCUUGUGCUAAAUCUUUUUAGACAUAGUUGUUUGAUCAAAUUCUAAAAUUUUAGCUCAAAGUUUCAAUUUUUUUUUGAAACAAGAAACCAUGGAUUUUGUAGUUCAACGUUUGUUGAUUCUCCUAACAUUAAUUGUUCUUGUUCAUGUUCAAACCCUCCAUGCCUUGGAUUCCACCACAACAAGACCCAUGAAUUGUACGGACACAACGAGAUUGUGCACAUCUUUUUUGGCUUUUAAGCCGCAAGACAACCAAACUCUAGCAGUGAUCCAGAGCAUGUUUGAUGUGUUACCACAGGACAUAACAGUUGAGGAAGAGAAUGGUCAUGGCUACAUGUUCAUAAAAAAGAAUUGUUCUUGCUUAUCAACUACCAAGAAUUAUGUAACAAAUACAACUUUUACGGUGAGAUCAAAUGAAGGGUAUGUUUAUGACAUGAUUUUGGAGGCUUAUGAUGGGCUUGCAAUGGUUCCAAAUAUUACCAGGCAGGCGAGGGUUGGAGCUGUGGUUUCUUUGAGGCUGUUUUGUGGGUGUUCAAGUGGCUUGUGGAACUACUUGAUGAGUUAUCUGAUGAAAGAUGGGGAUAGUGUGCAAUCUUUAGCAAGUAGAUUUGGGGUUAGCAUGGAUAGUAUUGAGGAAGUCAAUGGGAUUGUAAAUCCUGAUAAUAUCACUGUUGGUGCUCUGUACUAUAUUCCAUUAAAUUCAGUUCCUGGUGAGCGAUAUCAUGUGGAGAAGGAGAUUCCCCCUGCACCUGUUCCUGCACCAUCUGCUGACACAAAUUCAGAAAUUCAAGUAAAUCAUAAGUCUCAUGUGCCAUAUGGAUGGAUCAUUGGGGGUUUUGGUGUUGGGCUUGCCCUCAUUAUAGCAAGCAUAGUUGUUUGUAUUUCCUUGAGGUCCUCAAGCUGCUUUGCUGAAGCUCGAGGAAGUCUUGUGAAAGACCCUGAUGGCAAGAGUUCUCAUAAGUUUCACAUUCUUCGGAAGCCAAAUUUCUGUUGUGGUUCAGGAAGAUACGUUUGUGGCAAGUCAGGGAAUUGGAACCAAAAUAAUGGUGAACCUAGUAACCACCAGAUUACUAUUCCGAAAGCUCUAGGAACUGAUGUACUUGAUGUUGAGAAGCCUGUGGUUUUCACUUAUGAAGAGAUUCUUUUUUCAACUGAUGGGUUCUCAGAUUCUAAUCUUCUUGGUCAUGGAACCUAUGGUUCUGUGUAUUUUGCUCUCCUUCGUGAUCAGGAAGUUGCUAUCAAAAGAAUGACUGCCACAAAGACAAAGGAAUUUAUGGCAGAGAUGAAAGUCUUGUGUAAGGUUCAUCAUGCAAAUCUGGUAGAGUUGAUUGGCUAUGCUGCAAGUGAUAAUGAGCUCUUCCUUAUUUAUGAACAUGCUCAAAAGGGCUCCCUUAGAAGCCAUUUACAUGAUCCACAGAACAAAGGUCAUACACCACUUUCUUGGAUAAUGAGGGUUCAGAUUGCACUUGAUGCUGCUAGAGGCCUGGAGUACAUCCAUGAGCAUACUAAAACUCAUUAUGUUCAUCGGGAUAUCAAGUCGAGCAACAUAUUGCUUGAUGUUUCUUUCAGGGCAAAGAUUUCAGAUUUUGGGUUGUCAAAGCUUGUUGGGAAAACAAAUGAUGAAGAAGCAACGGCAACAAAAGUUGUUGGUACAUUUGGUUAUUUGGCACCAGAAUAUUUGAGUGAUGGACUUGCCUCAUCAAAAAGUGAUGUGUAUGCAUUUGGUGUUGUUCUGUUUGAGAUUAUAUCUGGAAAGGAGGCCAUCAUACGAACUGAAGGCACCACAAUGAAAAAUACUGAAAGACGUUCAUUGGCAUCUAUUAUGUUAGCAGCUCUUCGGAACACACCCGAUUCAAUGAGCAUGUCAAACAUGAAAGAUUAUGUUGAUCCAAAUAUGUUGGAUCUAUAUCCCCAUGAUUGUGUCUUCAAGAUGGCUAUGCUGGCAAAGCAAUGCGUUGACGAGGAUCCUAUUGUACGCCCUGACAUGAAACAAAUUGUGAUUAACUUGUCACAGAUCCUUUUGUCCUCUGUGGAGUGGGAAGCAACUCUUGCUGGGAACAGCCAAGUAUUUAGUGGUUUGGUCCAAGGAAGAUAGUUAUGGAGCAGUCAACCUAUUCCUCUCUAGUAUACUUUAUUUUUCUAUUGCCCCACUUUGUGCCCCCUUUCAUAUGGUUAUGUGUGCAGAGUAGCAAUGAUGUUCCAGAAAAGCAGUAAUAUGGUAAGGUAAUUGGGAGGAAAUCAAUGUGGGCUGUGACUUUGGAUUGCAUAAAAUGGGUUAAAAGGAUUCUGAUGGGCCGUAAAGUUUUCUUUAACCCGACCCAUCAUCCCUCAUGUCUCAACAUUCGGAUCCCGAGUAAAUAAAAGAAAGCCUGCCUUGCAGGGAGCCCCACCAGAAAUUUAAAAACCAAACGGCUAGAGGAAGACACAAAGAAAGAAGAAAACUGAGAGAAAAAAGGGAAAGGAUGCGGAGAACAGAAUCGAAGGCGAAAUCGUUAAGGAGACCGCUGAGAGACAACGGCAAUAAUCUAAACCACGCCUCCUUCUCCUUCAAUUCGAUAUUUAUUCUCUCCUCCGCCAGAAGUGACAUGGAUUGUCAUGUUCUAUAAUUGCGGCCGUUGUUUCCCAGAUUUAAGAUGGCGCUUUCAAGUCCUUCUGGGGAGUGCCUAGAUCAGUCUGGAUAAUUUUUGGAAUGUGAAACUGUUCCUUUUGUGAAUGUAAAUGAAAAAGAAUGCUUUGACGUUGGGAGUCCAGAAGAAACCACGUUGGACUCGAUAAUCUCUCCUUUUUCUCGUGUCAUGGCUUGCUGCUGACUGUAAUGUUGAGAGAGGUAGACAGCUGUUUCUGCUCACACCUCUUCCUAUGUCGAAGUCACUGUCUUCCAACAGGCGUGAUUUGUCUAAAUCAGUAUUCAAAAGGAUUGCUUCCAAAUCUAUUGUUGAGCUGCCAUCUUUCUCAACAAGGGAUGAAAACCAUGAUUUGCUUGAAGGUGCUGCAAAGCUAACUCCAAUUAAGCCUGCCGAUUCUGUUGUGGCUGAAACAGAUAAUACAUUGAAGUGUGGGUUUGUUUCUUCACCAGUGUUUUCGAGAAGAGACCAUUCCAUGCUUAAAAAUGUCGCCUCCUAAAUCUUGUGUGUUGCUCGAACCGAUUCAUGAGUCCUCACGUAGAGGCGAUUAUGGAAUGCGCAAGUCUACCCCGGUUUCCUGUUGGAUUUAACAACAGUGGUUUUUCUGAAUCCUCUGGAAGUGAAGCUUCUGAGGAUCUGACUUUGAAGUAUCCAGAGAACUACUAGGCAUACAACGAACUUACAUAUCAGGAAUUGGGAAGAGAGAGCUGGAGUCAGACCAUCACAUAUCACCUUGCCAAAAGUGGUUAAAAUAAAUGACUUUGA